rnacentral:rRNA from 1 species
GAUGAACGCUGGCGGCGUGCCUAAUACAUGCAAGUCGAGCGAACGGACGAGAAGCUUGCUUCUCUGAUGUUAGCGGCGGACGGGUGAGUAACACGUGGAUAACCUACCUAUAAGACUGGGAUAACUUCGGGAAACCGGAGCUAAUACCGGAUAAUAUUUUGAACCGCAUUGUUCAAAAGUGAAAGACGGUCUUUCUGUCACUUAUAGAUGGAUCCGCGCUGCAUUAGCUAGUUGGUAAGGUAACGGCUUACCAAGGCAACGAUGCAUAGCCGACCUGAGAGGGUGAUCGGCCACACUGGAACUGAGACACGGUCCAGACUCCUACGGGAGGCAGCAGUAGGGAAUCUUCCGCAAUGGGCGAAAGCCUGACGGAGCAACGCCGCGUGAGUGAUGAAGGUCUUCGGAUCGUAAAACUCUGUUAUUAGGGAAGAACAUAUGUGUAAGUAACUGUGCACAUCUUGACGGUACCUAAUCAGAAAGCCACGGCUAACUACGUG